AGAGUAGAGGUCGCGUGAUUCAAGAGUAUCUCAUCGGAUGUAUUCAGGUACAGAGGAGGGUGAGGGAAAGGGGAGAACGCCGAAAGGUGCAGUACCUGAAGCUGUACGCUUGGGCAUACAGUUAAGAACUGUGUGACUCUCAUCGGGAACCGGUGGGGAGCUCUCUGA
rnacentral:ncRNA from 1 species